UACGGAGGAUGCAAGCGUUAUCCGGAAUGAUUGGGCGUAAAGCGUCCGCAGGUGGCAAUGUAAGUCUGCUGUCAAAGCGUCUGGCUCAACCAGAUACAGGCAGUGGAAACUACAUAGCUAGAGUAAGGUAGGGGUAGAGGGAAUUCCUGGUGUAGCGGUGAAAUGCGCAGAUAUCAGGAGGAACACCGGUGGCGAAGGCGGAUCUCUGGGCCUUACCUGACGCUCAGGCACGAAAGCUAGGGGAGCGAACAGG
rnacentral:rRNA from 1 species